ensembl:lncRNA
GUAAUCACAGAAAUGCUCUUUUACUUCGCUACUUUCAGUAGCGUUCCUCUGUUACUGUUCAAUGUUAAGGAAUAUAUGUCAUUUUAUUAAUUAGUUUAGAUCACCUAUAAUGAGGUUACGAGUCUCGUGAUACGGUACAGUGGUCUGAAUGCGGACGCAAUGAGGAUAAUGGCGGAAGACGGGGAAGAAGAUUCAGUCUGAGUUUAGUCUGAGAUUCAGGAUUUUCUUUUCAUUUUAAUCAGAUCUGAAGUAUCUAGAUUUGUAGAGGAAAACCUGAGCAGAUUUCUUCUUCUCUGAAUGAGGCCAUGUCUUCUUGAUUGAAGUUUAUAUAGGAAGGUCAGUGGUUGCUGCCUCGGGGCUCUGGGACUCCUUCAGGUGCUAUAUAUCACCCCGGCACAAUAAACGCCACUGGCUGUAUUUCUCAGGACAAAGGCAGGUGUCUCCUCGCAUCUCUGGUAAAGAUGAAUGUGUGGUCCGCGGUCAAGGGAUGUUAGGAUGACCCCAGGACGACGUUCCUGGUCUUCUCAUAAGCACCAGAAGCAGUGAAGGGAUCUGGUGUGCUGAUCUGCCUCCCCAGGCCUUUGUCCUCGAUUUCACCCAGACAAAAUGGCUCGGAAAUUAGAUUCAUGUCACAGACGUUGCAUUUUAAAGAAGCCUGUCCGCGACAGGCCAUCCCAGAGUGCACUGCUUCAUUAUUCACUAGCCAAUGAGCUCUCCAGG